rnacentral:rRNA from 1 species
CGUCCUCCAAGGACAACUUCUUUACUUUUUGACCUCAAAUCAGAUAAGACUACCCGCUGAACUUAAGCAUAUCAAA